AUUGAACGCUGGCGGCAGGCUUAACACAUGCAAGUCGAGCGGGCGAGGUUGCUUCGGUAACUGAGCUAGCGGCGGACGGGUGAGUAAAGCUUAGGAAUCUGCCUAUUAGUGGGGGACAACAUUUCGAAAGGGUUGCUAAUACCGCAUACGUCCUACGGGAGAAAGCAGGGGAUCACUUGUGACCUUGCGCUAAUAGAUGAGCCUAAGUCGGAUUAGCUAGUUGGUGGGGUAAAGGCCUACCAAGGCGACGAUCUGUAGCGGGUCUGAGAGGAUGCUCCGCCACACUGGGACUGAGACACGGACCAGACUCCUACGGGAGGCAGCAGUGGGGAAUAUUGGACAAUGGGGGGAACCCUGAUCCAGCCAUGCCGCGUGUGUGAAGAAGGCCUUUUGGUUGUAAAGCACUUUAAGCGAGGAGGAGGCUACCGAGAUUAAUACUCUUGGAUAGUGGACGUUACUCGCAGAAUAAGCACCGGCUAACUCUGUGCCAGCAGCCGCGGUAA
rnacentral:rRNA from 1 species